UCCGACUUAGCUCAGUUGGUAGAGCACCUGACUGUUAAUCAGGUUGUCGCUGGUUCGAGCCCGGCAGUCGGAG
rnacentral:tRNA from 1 species